GGGACUUCCGGUCGGCGCCAGCGCUUAAUGGCGGUCCUCCCUUCGAGCUCCGGAGGAGGACUGCUCCGCGAGUUCGGGUCUGACCCGCUACGGCGAGCGGGGGACCCCUAAAAUCACAGGCGCGGAAGCCUGUGAACAAGGAGACUCGGUGGGCACCUUCUGCGCCCCCCGGUACUGUGAAAGAGCCUUUUUAAAGGCUACGGAGCGGCAUCGGGGGUGAGCGCGGUGCUGAGAGUCGCAACCCAGCCCGUGGAGUGAAGCCGCGUCGCCAUGAGCGGAGAGCGCCGAUUCCUUCCUGAACUAGAAAUUCGACUCUAAAGCCCGUGAGUAAGACGGAGGGACUGAAAGGGACAUUUAAAUUUAAAUCUUGAAAUUUGGCUGAAAACGGGAAAGGCAUAAAUUAAGGAAGUCUGCCUCCCGAUCUGCAUGGCAAGUAAAGCAACGAAAGAGCAAAGCUGCAUUUGAAAGAAAAUUACCUUUAAGCUGUCAAACCUGACAUUUGACUUAAACCUCCCCCCCAGUAAGCAGGAGAGGGGGGGAAGAAAAUUGGACACUGUUAACCUGCUUGAAAUUAACUGAGGAAAAAAAACAUCUUCCAUUGCCAAACCCCCAGGACGGACUGCCUGAGUAAGGCACCGGCAAAGUGAACUGUCAGUUUAGACUGGAUACAAAGUUGGGGUCUUGUCUGAGACAAAGUUACGGGACUUUAAUGGAAUUACUUUGUUGAACUUGUGAUUUACUGAAAAAAGUGCGACAGAAACUUUUAUUGUGGACUCUUGGACUUUUUGUUGAUUGCUCUGUGCUUCCUUGUUUUUUCUCUUUUCACUUGGAUACAUUUAAAUGCUCCCUCUAGAGGGUAUAAAGAGAAACUGUUACAGUGAAAAAGAAACAGUGGGAUUUUCCACUUGCAAGCCUUUCCUGUGAGAACGACCUUGAGGAUAUGAGUGGCCCAGCAGAAGAGAUAACAACUAGAUCUAAAGCAAAACAGACACAAAAGAAAAGGGGUUCAAUACCCGGCAUACCACCAGCUGCACAGGAAAAAGUGGCAACAGCAUCUAUGGAUUCAAUGACACAGGCACUGCUCAAAAUAAACCAAUCUUUAGAAGCACUGACAAAGCUAUCUACGGAAAAUUCAAAAUAAUUGACAGAACUGACAGCAAGAUUGGACUUGAAUACUGCAAGUGUAACAUCUAAUACAGAAUCUAUUAAUAAACUAAUUCAAGAAAGUUCUGAAACACGAAAGAUUGCUGAAAGUGCAAAAAAUACUGCGGAGGAGACAAGGGAGGAGCUAGUGCCGAUUACAAAAAAAGUGAAUGAACAUGAUGCAGCUCUAUCUUUGUUGGAACUACAGAGAAAAGAGAGAAAUUUGAAAUUGAGAUUGGUUCCCGAGAGUGAGGGAGACAACCUUGUGGAUUUUCUUACACAGAACUUUAUGGAAUUCUGGCAAGAGGAGCUGCAGGAAGAAGAACUUGAAAUAACAACAGCUUUCCGGCUGGGCAGGAGGCAAGGUAAGAAGCCAAGGGAUUGUUUGAUCACAUUGAGAUCCAAAGGAGAAAGAGAUAAGAUAUUGAAUUUGCAUUAUCAAAAGGCAUUGGAGAUUGAAAAUAGUCAAGUACAAAUUUUUAAAGAUAUCCCUAAAUAUAUUUUGGAGGUGAGAGCCUUCUAUAAAGAUUUGGUCUACCUGCUGAAGAAAAAUAUCAUACCCUUCAGGUGGGAGUUUCCACAAGGAUUGUCUUUUACUUUCAAAGGAAGGAAGGUUAAAAUAAGAACAGUUCAAGAUAAAGAACAGUUUCUGGAGAGAUAUCAGGAGGACUUGCAGAAAGGAACAGUAGAAACAACAAUACAAGAAAAAGGAGUGACAGACAUUGCAAACUUGUCAUUUGGACUCAUACCAUCAUCUGAAGAUGAACAAAAGCUAGGAGCAGUCGGAGGAACAGGUACUUAAUAACAAAAUGUCUCUGCAACUUCUUAGUUGGAAUUGUAAUGGUUUGAACCUUCCCCGAAAAAGACGUCAAGUUUUUCAUAUUUUGAAAAGAGAACAAUUAGAUCUAAUAUGCCUACAAGAGACCCAUGUGACCAGGACACAUCGGAAAUUAUUGGUAAACAAGAGACUUGGACAAGAAUUUAUUUCAUCAGAUAAAGUUAAGAAAAGAGGCGUGGUGAUUUAUGCAAAAGAAAAAUUGGCUCCAAAGAUGAUAUUUAAAGAUGAACAAGGAAGAUACCUGGCAAUUGAAAUACAAGUUCAAGGAGAAAAAAUUUUGAUAGUUGGAAUCUAUGCACCAAAUGACGGGAAGGCGGAAUUCUUUAAGAAGUUGCAUGAGACUUUAAUGGACUACUUAGACUACAGAAUUGUAAUGAUGGGAGACAUGAAUGGCGUAGUUUCCACAAAUAUGGACAAAGCACAGAGACAAGUAAUUUCCAAGGAAGGGAGACUACCAAAGACUUUUUUGAAAUGACUGAAACUAUGGACUUGAUUGACAUUUGGAGAACAAGGAACCCUCUUGAGAGAGAGGGAACUUUUUCUCUGAAGCAAAAAUGACAUGGACAAGAAUUGACCAAAUUUGGGUAACUAGCAGUAUGGCGCCAAGGAUUAAAAAGGUAGAAAUCUGCUCAAAGACUUGCUCCGACCAUAAUGCUGUAAAGAUGGAGAUGAAACUAACAACAACUGGAUCCUUUAGAUGGAGAAUGAAUGACACCCUAUUUAGAGAUGAAGAGAUUUAUAAGAAGGCCCAAAAAACAGUGAAAGAUUAUUUUGAGAUAAAUUUGAGAACAGAAGUGGAAAAAAGAAUAAUUUGGGACGCAAGUAAGGCCGUGAUGCGAGGUUUCCUAAUACAACAGAACUCCAUAAAAAGGAAAAAUCAAAAUGAAAGGAAAGGAAAAAUUCUGGAAAAAAUAAAAGAAGGUGAAAAGAAAUUGAGGUCUAAACCAAAGUCUCAUGAGAUUCUGAAAGAAAUAAAGCACUAUCAGGUGCAAUAUAUGGAAUUGAUGAAUCAAGAGAUAGAAUGGAAAAUAAAGCAAAUGAGACAAAAGACAUUUGAAUCAGCAGAUAAAUGUGGGAAAUUUCUGUCAUGGCAAUUGAAAAAGAGGCAAAAAUUGAACACUGUGACAAGUUUAGAAGUGGAUGGAAAGAUUAUCCACAAACCAAAUGAGAUAAGUAAUUGCUUUCAAGGUUAUUUCAGGAAAUUAUAUGCACAAGGGCCAGUUAACGAACAGGAAAUAGAAGAAUUUGUUAAGAAACAUGGAUUACCAAAAAUUUCAGAGCAAAGCAGAAGGAUUUUGAAUGAGAAAAUAACAGGACAAGAAAUAGAGGGUGCCAUUCAGAAGAUGCAAUUGGGAAAAGCUCCAGGACCAGAUGGUUUGACCGCCAGAUAUUAUAAAGGGUUGAAGGAAUGGUUAGUACAACCACUGAAGGAAGUAUGUAACGAAAUUUUGGAAGGGAAAAAGGCACCAGAGUCGUGGAAAGAAGCUUUUAUCUCACUUAUACCGAAAACUGAGACUGAAAAGAACCAGGUUAAAAACUACCGCCCUAUAUCAUUACUUAACGUGGAUUACAAAAUUUUUGCGGACAUUAUGGCAAAAAGACUGAAGAGAGUGUUGGUAGGGGAGAUUCAUAAAGACCAAACUGGCUUUCUUCCAGGGAGAUAUAUGUCGGACAAUGUGAGGAACAUUAUAGACAUUUUGGAACUGUUAGAAGUGGACAUUAAUAGGAAGGCUGUUUUAAUUUUUGUGGAUGCGGAGAAAGCCUUUGACAAUAUUGGUUGGAGCUUUAUGAAGAAGAAUCUCCAAGGGAUGGGGGUAGGUCAAGGGUUUGAAAAUGGUAUAGGUGCAAUAUACUCUAAACAAAAAGCAAAGUUAAUUGUAAACAAUGUGGUUACGGAAGAAAUACCUAUAGAAAAAGGUACACGACAGGGGUGCCCAAUAUCCCCUUUACUUUUUAUAUUAGUCCUGGAGGUUUUGCUAAAUAUGAUUAGAGGAGACCAGUUGGUUAAAGGAGUACAAGUCGGAGCCAAACAUUAUAAGCUAAGGGCAUUUGCAGAUGACCUAGUAUUGACCUUGCAACAGCCAGAUACUAGUACUAAAAGAGUAUUAGAACUAAUUGAGAUAUUUGGUCAAGUAGCAGGAUUUAAACUGAACAAACAGAAAACGAAAGUGUUGGACAAAAAUUUAACGUUGGCCGAAAAAGAGAAAUUUCAGAAUGAAACAGGUCUAGUGAUAACGAAAAAAGUAAAGUACCUGGGGGGUAAACUUAACAUCUAAGAAUGUGAAUUUAUUUAAGGACAAUUAUGAUAAAUGUUGGACAGAGGUAAAGAAGGAUCUAGAAAUAUGGUCAAGGUUGAAACUUUCUUUGUUAGGCCGAAUUGCUGUUAUCAAGAUGAAUGUAUUGCCUAGAAUGUUGUUUUUAUUCCAGACAUUGCAGAUUUUGGACAAGAUGGACUGUUUCAAGAAGUGGCAGAAAGAUAUAUCUAAAUUUGUCUGGCAGGGCAAAAAGCCCAGAAUAAAAUUUAAGAUUCUAACUGAUGCUAAAGAUAGAGGGGGGUUUGCCCUGCCGGACUUAAGACUCUACUAUGAAUCGGCGGCUUUCUGCUGGUUGAAACAGUGGCUACUUCUUGAGAAUACAGAUAUUUUGGAUCUAGAAGGGUUUGAUAAUAGAUUUGGUUGGCAUGCAUAUAUAUGGUAUGAUAAGGUUAAACUGCAUAAAGGUUUCAAAAACCAUAUUGUUAGGAAAGCAUUAUACAAUGUUUGGAUGCGGUAUAAAGAUCUAUUGGAAAGUAAAACUCCCAGGUGGUUGUCACCAAUGGAAGCUAAAGAGGUGAAAAAACUUAAUAUGGAGUCUAAAUGGCCAAAAUAUUGUGAAAUUCUAGAACAAGAUGGGGAAAAAGUUAAAUUACAGAGCUAUGAGAAAUUAAAGUCCAAAGUGCGAGAUUGGUUGCACUACCUUCAGAUAAACGAGACAUUUAAACAGGACAGGAAAAUAGGUUUCCAGAUGGAGAGGUCAAAAUUAGAAACAGAACUGUUAGAACCCAAUACUAAGAAUCUGUCGAGAAUGUAUAAUCUGCUGUUGAAAUGGAACACACAGGAUGAAACGGUGAAAUCAGCUAUGAUAAAAUGGGCACAAGAUAUUGGUCAUAACAUUAUGUUUGCUGACUGGGAACAGUUGUGGACCACCGGUAUUAAAUUUACGGCAUGUAAUGCCUUAAGAGAAAACAUUAUGAAAAUGAUGUAUAGGUGGUACAUGACCCCAGUCAAGCUCGCAAAAAUUUAUCAUCUGCCCAAUAACAAAUGUUGGAAAUGUAAUGAGACUGAAGGUACUUUUUAUCACCUUUGGUGGACCUGCCCGAGGAUAAAAGCUUUUUGGGAAAUGAUCUAUAAUGAAAUUAAGAAGGUUCUUAAAUGGACCUUCCCUAAAAACCCGAGGCUUUUCUCCUGGGCAUUGUCGGCCAAUUGGUGAGAAGGAAGGACAGGACGUUUUUAUGUAUGCGACUACAGCAGCAAGGAUUCUUCUAGCAAAGUAUUGGAAGACACAACAACUACCCACACUGGAAGAAUGGCAGACGAAGGUGAUCGACUAUAUGGGACUGGCGGAAUUGACUGGCAGAAUCCGUGACCAGGGGAAAGAGACAGUGGAAGAAGAUUGGAAGAAAUUUAAAGUUUAUCUUAGAACUUGUUGCAAAAUUCAGGAAUGUUAAAAUGUCAAGGGGUUGGGAAAUAGAGAACUGCAGCUGUAAUUAAUAUUAUUAGAAGAACUUAAAAGAAAUUGAAUUGAAUAAUUAGUUGAUUGAGGAGUUGCUGAAGAAAUAUAAAACAAGGAUGCAGAAAAGGGGAGGUAUGGGGAAGUCCGGAAAGUAAGGCUUAUGAAAAAUGGUUAUGAAAUUAUACAUGUUUAUAUGUUUGUAUGUCGGUGUAUUGUGUACUGUUUGUUUUCUUAUCUUGUGUUUGGAAAAUGAAUAAAAAUUUAUU
rnacentral:lncRNA from 1 species